rnacentral:rRNA from 1 species
UUAUAUCUUAAAGCCUACUACAGAUUUGAAAAAGAAAAAUAAAUAAAAAGUAAUUUAAAGAAAUGAGAUAAGAAGGCAAAGAGAACAAGUACCGUUAGGGAAAUUUGAAAUAGAAGAAAAUAUUAUAUUUAAAUAGUAUUAAAUAUUAAGUACCUUUUGUAUUAGGGUUACUCAAAUUGUAAAAUUAUGCUUUACUUCCCGAAAAUAAAAGAUCUAGUUUAUAUUAUCUAACUCUAUGUAGCAUAAUAGUUAAACAAUUUAAACUAGUGGUUAAAUGCUAACCGAUUUUAUUGAUAUCUGGUUGUUUUCAAAAUGAAUCUAGUUCAGCUUGCUAUGGAAGAAUAAUAAUAUACAUACUAUCUUUCUUUAUCAGUAGAGAUAAGAAUUGGGGGAUGAUCUCCAAUUCAUUCUAGAAAUACUUAAAAUAGUUAACCUUUAUAUAGGCUUGAAAUUAGCUUUUUUAAAAUGUUAUAAUUAAUUGUCUAAAGUAAUGAAUUUAUCAAGGAUUCUAGAAUUAAGAAAACUAACUAAAAACUAAAUUAGGGCAGAAAAAAUGAUUAAAUUAGUAGAUUAUAAGGUCUGGAUUAAAUUAUAGAUAGAAUCUUGAAAGUUUCUAAUAAAUUAAUACUUUUAAAGAACUCGGCAAAAAAAUUUCCGAAUGUUUAACAAAAACAUUUCCUCUUUAUUAAGAGGUAGGGCCUGCUCACUGAUGUAUUUAAGAGCCGCGGUAUAUUGACUGUGCUAAGGUAGCAUAAUAAUUUGUCUUUUAAUUGAAGACUAGAAUGAAUGGUUUAACGAGAAAUUAACUUUUUUGAAAGUAACAUUUUGAAUUUAAUUUUUUAGUGAAAAAGCUAAAAUAGAAUAAAAAGACGAGAAGACCCUAUAGAGUUUUAUAUUUGAAUUAUUUGUUUUUAAAUAAUUUUGGUAAUCGCAAAUAAGUAAAUUAUUUUGUUGGGGCGACAUUUAGAUAAGAAAAACUUUUUAUUUUUAAAAUUUCAAUUGAAAAAUUUUUGAUCCUUAAAAAAGAUUAAAAGAAUAAGUUACCUUAGGGAUAACAGCGUAAUCUUUCUUGAGAGUUCUAAUCGACAGAAAGGUUUGCGACCUCGAUGUUGGACUAAAAUUAAAUUAAGGAGCAGUAUCCUUAGAUUUAGGUCUGUUCGACCUAUAGACUUUUACAUGAUCUGAGUUCAGACCGGCGAGAGCCAGGUUGGUUUCUAUCUUUUAUUUUUUCUUUUUUAAUUUAGUACGAAAGGACCAAUUAGAAAUAAUAUUUGUAUCUAAAGAUUAUGAUUAAUUGACUAGUAA